CCCUUAGAUGUUCUGGGCCGCACGCACGCUACACUGUUCGACGCAGCGAGUCUUAACCUUGACCGAAAGGUUUGGGUAAUCUUCAGCAAAGUCGAACGUGAUGGGGAUCGAUCAUUGCAAUUAUUGAUCGUGAACGAGGAAUUCCUAGUAAGUGCAAGUCAUCAGCUUGCGCUGAUUACGUCCCUGCCCUUUGUACACACCGCCCGUCGCUACUACCGAUUGAAUGGUUUAGUGAGAUCUCUGGAUUGACGCUGGCUAGGGGGCGACCCUUGGCCAGACUGUUGAGAAACUGCUCAAACUUGAUCAUUUAGAGGAAGUAAAAGUCGUAACA
rnacentral:rRNA from 1 species